rnacentral:rRNA from 1 species
CAUCCAGACUCCUACGGGAGGCAGCAGUGGGGAAUAUUGCACAAUGGGGGAAACCCUGAUGCAGCGACGCCGCGUGAGCGAAGAAGUACCUCGGUAUGUAAAGCUCUAUCAGCAGGGAAGAAGAUGACGGUACCUGACCAAGAAGCUCCGGCUAAAUACGUGCCAGCAGCCGCGGUAAUACGUAUGGAGCAAGCGUUAUCCGGAUUUACUGGGUGUAAAGGGCGUGUAGCCGGGCUGGCAAGUCAGAUGUGAAAUCCGGGGGCUCAACCCCCGAACUGCAUUUGAAACUGUUGGUCUUGAGUAUCGGAGAGGCAGGCGGAAUUCCUAGUGUAGCGGUGAGAUGCGUAGAUAUUAGGAGGAACACCAGUGGCGAAGGCGGCCUGCUGGACGACAACUGACGGUGAGGCGCGAAAGCGUGGGGAGCAAACAGGAUUAGAUACCCGUGUAA